UACGUCUUCUGUCUUUCUCCACUUCCUCUUCUUCUUCUAUACAACCUCAUAAAAAAAAUUCUUUUACACAUUUUCACACACAUUUUAUAAAAAAUGUUGUCUUUUAAAAUGCAACAUUUCUUCUAUUCGUUUUUUUAACAUUAUUUUGUUUGCAUUUUACUAAUAAUUUUGGUGCUAAUUUUUGCAGUUUUGAACUAUAAUGAGAUGAAACAAAAAACUUUCAGAUCUGAAAUGAGACCGUGUAAAAUUGAAAUGGCUUCCAGCGGAUCUGAAAUCGAAACCACGGGAACAUCGGAUCUGAAAUUGAAAUCACUGGAUCUGAUAUCAAAACCACCAGAUUUGAAAUCAACUCUCAUCUUCUUCAUACUUACAAGGAUUAUGAAAUGGAACAAUGGAAGGAGGGUAUCAAAAUUCAAGAGGUAUGGAAAAUAAGUAAUAAUCUUACUUUAAGUCUUUCUGCUACAAUAACUGGACAACUCUAUCCAACUUUAUCACUAUUUUAAAAUGGUAUGGAAAAUAAGUAAUAAUCUUACUUUAAGUCUUUCUGCUACAAUAAUUGUACAACUCUAUCCAACUUUAUCACUAUUCAAAAAGUGUGUGACAAGACAACACACAUUUUAGUAUAUUUUUAUGUGCAUCAUAUAUAUUCAAUAUUUUUUUCACUCAUAGACAAAACUAUUAACUCUUUUCAAUCUAUACAUU